rnacentral:rRNA from 1 species
GAUGAACGCUGGCGGCGUGCCUAAUACAUGCAAGUCGAGCGAACAGACGAGGAGCUUGCUCCUCUGACGUUAGCGGCGGACGGGUGAGUAACACGUGGAUAACCUACCUAUAAGACUGGGAUAACUUCGGGAAACCGGAGCUAAUACCGGAUAAUAUAUUGAACCGCAUGGUUCAAUAGUGAAAGACGGCUUUGCUGUCACUUAUAGAUGGAUCCGCGCCGGAUUAGCUAGUUGGUAAGGUAACGGCUUACCAAGGCGACGAUGCGUAGCCGACCUGAGAGGGUGAUCGGCCACACUGGAACUGAGACACGGUCCAGACUCCUACGGGAGGCAGCAGUAGGGAAUCUUCCGCAAUGGGCGAAAGCCUGACGGAGCAACGCCGCGUGAGUGAUGAAGGUCUUCGGAUCGUAAAACUCUGUUAUUAGGGAAGAACAAAUGUGUAAGUAACUAUGCACGUCUUGACGGUACCUAAUCAGAAAGCCACGGCUAACUACGUG